CGGCCGUAGCGCGGUGGUCCCACCUGACCCCAUGCCGAACUCAGAAGUGAAACGCCGUAGCGCCGAUGGUAGUGUGGGGUCUCCCAUGCGAGAGUAGGGAACUGCCAGGC
rnacentral:rRNA from 1 species